AGCUUUGUGCAGUGGCCGUAUCGUAGCCAAUGAGGUUUAUCCGAGGCGCGAUUAUUGCUAAUUGAAAACUUUUACCAAUACCCCGCUGUGACGACUUGAAAUACAGUCGGCACUGGCAUUAUUUGACAGUCUCUAUGGAGA
rnacentral:snRNA from 1 species